rnacentral:rRNA from 2 species
AUGCAUGCGCAGCUAUAAUGCAGUCGAGCGAAUCGAUGGGAGCUUGCUCCCUGAGAUUAGCGGCGGACGGGUGAGUAACACGUGGGCAACCUGCCUAUAAGACUGGGAUAACUUCGGGAAACCGGAGCUAAUACCGGAUACGUUCUUUUCUCGCAUGAGAGAAGAUGGAAAGACGGUUUACGCUGUCACUUAUAGAUGGGCCCGCGGCGCAUUAGCUAGUUGGUGAGGUAAUGGCUCACCAAGGCGACGAUGCGUAGCCGACCUGAGAGGGUGAUCGGCCACACUGGGACUGAGACACGGCCCAGACUCCUACGGGAGGCAGCAGUAGGGAAUCUUCCGCAAUGGACGAAAGUCUGACGGAGCAACGCCGCGUGAACGAAGAAGGCCUUCGGGUCGUAAAGUUCUGUUGUUAGGGAAGAACAAGUACCAGAGUAACUGCUGGUACCUUGACGGUACCUAACCAGAAAGCCACGGCUAACUACGUGCCAGCAGCCGCGGUAAUACGUAGGUGGCAAGCGUUGUCCGGAAUUAUUGGGCGUAAAGCGCGCGCAGGUGGUUCCUUAAGUCUGAUGUGAAAGCCCACGGCUCAACCGUGGAGGGUCAUUGGAAACUGGGGAACUUGAGUGCAGAAGAGGAAAGUGGAAUUCCAAGUGUAGCGGUGAAAUGCGUAGAGAUUUGGAGGAACACCAGUGGCGAAGGCGACUUUCUGGUCUGUAACUGACACUGAGGCGCGAAAGCGUGGGGAGCAAACAGGAUUAGAUACCCUGGUAGUCCACGCCGUAAACGAUGAGUGCUAAGUGUUAGAGGGUUUCCGCCCUUUAGUGCUGCAGCUAACGCAUUAAGCACUCCGCCUGGGGAGUACGGCCGCAAGGCUGAAACUCAAAGGAAUUGACGGGGGCCCGCACAAGCGGUGGAGCAUGUGGUUUAAUUCRAAGCAACGCGAAGAACCUUACCAGGUCUUGACAUCCUCUGACAACCCUAGAGAUAGGGCUUUCCCCUUCGGGGGACAGAGUGACAGGUGGUGCAUGGUUGUCGUCAGCUCGUGUCGUGAGAUGUUGGGUUAAGUCCCGCAACGAGCGCAACCCUUGAUCUUAGUUGCCAGCAUUCAGUUGGGCACUCUAAGGUGACUGCCGGUGACAAACCGGAGGAAGGUGGGGAUGACGUCAAAUCAUCAUGCCCCUUAUGACCUGGGCUACACACGUGCUACAAUGGAUGGUACAAAGGGCUGCAAACCUGCGAAGGUAAGCGAAUCCCAUAAAGCCAUUCUCAGUUCGGAUUGUAGGCUGCAACUCGCCUACAUGAAGCCGGAAUCGCUAGUAAUCGCGGAUCAGCAUGCCGCG